rnacentral:rRNA from 1 species
GUCUACCACCGCGGAUGUUCUAACCCUUUGUUGUCCGACUCUGUUGCCUCCGGGGCGACCCUGCCUUCGGGCGGGGGCUCCGGGUGGACACUUCAAACUCUUGCGUAACUUUGCAGUCUGAGUAAACUUAAUUAAUAAAUUAAAACUUUUAACAACGGAUCUCUUGGUUCUGGCAUCGAUGAAGAACGCAGCGAAAUGCGAUAAGUAAUGUGAAUUGCAGAAUUCAGUGAAUCAUCGAAUCUUUGAACGCACAUUGCGCCCCCUGGUAUUCCGGGGGGCAUGCCUGUUCGAGCGUCAUUUCACCACUCAAGCCUCGCUUGGUAUUGGGCAACGCGGUCCGCCGCGUGCCUCAAAUCGACCGGCUGGGUCUUCUGUCCCCUAAGCGUUGUGGAAACUAUUCGCUAAAGGGUGUUCGGGAGGCUACGCCGUAAAACAACCCCAUUUCUAAGGUUGACCUCGGAUCAGGUAGGGAUACCCGCUGAA